GAUGAACGCUGGCGGCGUGCCUAAUACAUGCCAGUCGAGCGAACGGACGAGAAGCUUGCUUUUCUGAUGUUAGCGGCGGACGGGUGAGUAACACGUGGAUAACCUACCUAUAAGACUGGGAUAACUUCGGGAAACCGGAGCUAAUACCGGAUAAUAUUUUGAACCGCAUGGUUCAAAAGUGAAAGACGGUCUUGCUGUCACUUAUAGAUGGAUCCGCGCUGCAUUAGCUAGUUGGUAAGGUAACGGCUUACCAAGGCAACGAUGCAUAGCCGACCUGAGAGGGUGAUCGGCCACACUGGAACUGAGACACGGUCCAGACUCCUACGGGAGGCAGCAGUAGGGAAUCUUCCGCAAUGGGCGAAAGCCUGACAGAGCAACGCCGCGUGAGUGAUGAAGGUCUUCGGAUCGUAAAACUCUGUUAUUAGGGAAGAACAUAUGUGUAAGUAACUGUGCACAUCUUGACGGUACCUAAUCAGAAAGCCACGGCUAACUACGUG
rnacentral:rRNA from 1 species